ensembl:lncRNA
CGGCCCAUAGCACCUCGUUGGAGCGAAAACAGUCUCACUUGGCCAACCAGGAAACCCAGGAAACAGGGCUUUGUUUUUAGCUGCUUUUGCAGAGUUGCAAAGCCUUUGCAUAUAUUAUUUCAUUUAAAGCUUAUAACAACAUUGCAGGGAAAGUAUUAUUACCUGUUCUACAGGUAGGGAAAAUGUUCAGGAGGUGAUGUUAGUCGCCCAGCCCCAUGCCGGGCUUGAGGGCGGGUCAGCCUGGCCCAGCCUGGUGGCCUCUGCCUGACUCCCAUUGUGUUGUCUGCCCUGGCAGAGCCAGAAUUCACACCCACGUCUCUUGUGGGGAACACGGGGCUGGUUGUGGAGCCCCCAACCCCUCCGUCUGUCCUCCACCCAUUUGGACACACAGUCACACGGGACUGGCGACGAACGCAGUCAUUUGGAAAUGCCAAGGCUUGCUCCACGGCUGGGGACGUGCCUUGGGCCAGAUUCAGUGCAUAUUUCUGGACCGGGAUUAAACUCCAUGGCGGCUCCUGGAUGCCAACUGGUUUGGAGGGAAACACUCUGCUCUGUGAUGAGAGCCCUCCAGAUGGUUCUCGGAAGCACCGGAGGCUGCCAACAGGACCGGGAGGCUGGCCUGGGUUCUGGAGAGCUCCCCUGCCUGGGCCCGGUGCAGAAGGGACUGGAAAGCCCCCUCCAGGUGCGAGGAAGGUGCCUGGAGCAGAGCACAUCUCCCCUUCCUCAGCCCAGAGAUCCCCUUUUCCUGGAGGAGAGAAGCAAGGCUCAGAGAGGUAACGUUUCUUUCUGCAGGUCACAGCCCUCCUGAGAACACUGCGGAGUGUGCCUGGGCACCCAUGGGGUUGUUCUGGCGGCUCUUGCCCUGGGCAACAUGCCCAUCACCCACUUCUUUCAGGGCCCUGCGAUCACCCCACUUUCCCCGCCUUUGCCUUUGCUCACCGUUGCUCCUCUGGGAUGUGCUUCCUGACUACUUUCCAGAUGUUCCUGCAAGGCUCCUUCCUCCAGGAAGCCCACCUGGCCUGCCCCUGCCCCUCCUAUUGUGCAGCCGAGAUGGACUGGGCCUUUCUUCACCUGAUGAACGCCUCUGCUGUGGAUGGGAAGGACGCUUCUCAGAGACAGAGGCAACAUUUACCUUUCUCAUCGCCAACUUCCCAGCAGUCCACACGGAGUAGGUGCUCAAAAAAUACUGCUGAACUGACAAAUGAGAGCAUGAAGGAAAAAGUGGCCCUGCGUGCACUAGGAAAUGUCACAACUCAUUUUAAGUUGGGAAUCUGUGCUCCAGGAGUGACAGCUCAAGCCACCACCGAGGCCUUGCAGAUAUCUGGAGGUGACGAGCAGCCCUGGGCUGGGCUCCUGUUCCAGAUCUGCAGCGACCAGCUGUGCAGCUGCAGACAAGGCCCUUGACCUCUCUGGGCUUCAGUUUCCCCAUGUGUAACAUGAGGCUGGAUGACAUCUUUCAGAAGCUGCUUCUAGCAUGGCCCCAGUGAUCGCCCCACCCCAUCCCAUCCACCCCCCAGUUUUCACGUACUCAUGCCCUCUCUUUCUGAGGGUGGGCUGGGCCCAAGGACUUGCUUCUAACCAACAGAAAACAGUAGACGUGAGGGUGGCACUUUCAGGACUAGGUACAGAGACCAUGAUGCCGUCUGUUCCUGGACCCUCUUGUCCUCUCUUGUCAUCACCCAUUGGGAUGAAGCCAGCUGCCAUGUGGGUGGGAGGGGCCCCAGGCCCAAGUCCACGAGGGACAGCCUCCUGUCCGCAACCACGUGGGCACCUGGAGGCACGCUCACCACAGCCUCAGUGACACCCUCAGUGCAGCCUGGGGGAGGCCCCGCAGCGGCACAGCCAGAUCCCACUCACUGGGUCUGUGGAAUAGUCAGAGGUCAUUCGGGGCUACGCUGUUACACAGUAGUAGAUGGCUGAUACACUGUCGUUCUCAAAGGGCUACCUGGUGACCGAGGUGACAUGUGAUCGUGCAACUGUGGACGAAGUAUGUUACCUGCUGUCAAGAAACAAAGGAUGCUGCAGCCAUCCCUGACUGCAGGAUACCAGCCCUAGAUAAAGGCACAUAUCAAACAAGUGAUUUCAAGGAGCCCAGACUCUUGGCAUCUUUCCAUACAUAGAAAAGUGCUAAAUUCAUUAACUUGAGAUGUCUGUAGUUUUUUUUUGUUUUUUUUAAAUUAACAGUAAUCUUUUGAUGUUCCAACUAGCUGGUUUUUCUUCCAAAACUGCUGUAUAACUUGGUUCCUUCCUUACCUCUUCGGAACAGUCUCUCAGCCAUCUGAGGGCCUCAGCGUCGCUCUCAGCCUCCCAGGCUUGGGUCCUCAGAAAGUCCGAAUAAAACGUAACUCUUGAC